UACGUAGGAUGCAAGCGUUGUCCGGAUUUAUUGGGCGUAAAGAGUUCGUAGGCGGUUCGUUAAGUCUGAUGUUAAAGACUGGGGCUCAACCCCGGGAGUGCAUUGGAUACUGGCGGACUGGAGUGUGGUAGAGGCUAGUGGAAUUCCCAGUGUAGCGGUGAAAUGCGUAGAUAUUGGGAAGAACACCAGUGGCGUAGGCGACUAGCUGGGCCAUAACUGACGCUGAGGAACGAAAGCCAGGGGAGCGAAUGGG
rnacentral:rRNA from 1 species